GCCGGUGUGGUGUAACUGGUUGCACGUCAGUCUUCCAAACUGAAAGCGCGAGUUCGCGUCUCGCCACCGGCUCGA
rnacentral:tRNA from 1 species